AUGUUCCCGAGGGGCUGUGGCUCAGGGAUCCGGCUGUUCCCGGUGUUUUUCCAGGCCCCUGAUCUCCUACAUCCGCAAGUUCUACUACUACGACCCGCAGGAGGAGCAGUACCUGUCCCUCAAGGAGGCGCAGCUCAUCUCCCGACAGAAGCAGGAGCCCGAGUCCUCCACGUAGCGCAGCCGGCGCUGACGGUGAGGGAGCGGCCCGGGAAUGCUCUGGGAAUGGUCUGGGAUGAUUGGGAGCGGCCCGGGAAUGCUCUGGGAAUGGUCUGGGAUGAUUGGGAGCGGCCCGGGAAUGCUCUGGGAAUGGUCUGGGAUGAUUGGGAGUGGUCCAGUGAUGGUUGGGAUGAUCUGAGAAUGGUCGGGGAUGGUUCAGGAAUGGUCUGGGGAUGGUCUGGAAUGAUGUGGAGUGGUCCAGGGAUGGUCAGGAUGGUCUGGGAAUGCCCCAGGAAUGAUCUGGGAAUGGUGCCUCAUCCCAGGAUCAGUGCUGUCCUGCUGUUCCCCCAGAACCACAACCCCCCCAGAGGAGUCCUGGCUGCUCCCUCAGGGGUCCUCUGUCAUUCCCGGUUUUCUUUGGGAAAGGGAACAGGAUUUCACGGUGUUUUACCGUUCCCAGCUUUCCUUGGGAAGGGGAACAAGGCUUCUUGGCCUUUUACCAUUCCCAGCUUUCCUCGGGAAGGGCACAACCCUCCUGCUCCUCCCUCGCUCCCAUUGCCCCUCCCAAUCCCAUCUGAUCCCGAUUCCCGGUGUUUCUUCCUGGCAGGAAUUUGGUUGUUGCCCUCCUGCCAUGGUGGGGAGGAGGCCGAGCUCCUGCUGCUGCUCCUGCUCCUUUCCUGGAGGAGAGGGCCCGGCAUUCCCAGGAAGCCCAGCAGAGCAGGAUCUGCUCCUGGGAAGAGGAGCCCGGGGGAGCCCAGCCCGGCCCCGCGGGACCCCGCGGAACAAAGAAUGUCAUGGCACUAUUCCCGAGCUUUCCUGGAAGUUUUCCCUUUGGAUGUCUCUGGAUUUUAA
rnacentral:lncRNA from 1 species